GGGCGCCCUGAAACGGGGUCCACGUCAGCCCGCUCCCGAGCGUGUCCUCAGGUCUAAGGACGGGUGGGGCUUCCUUUGUGUGUUCUCUGGAAGGGGCUGGGAUGGCGUCGUUGCUGCCCCAAGGGGUAACCGAGGGGGAUUGAGGGAAGAUGGUACCAGCUCCCUAGAGCUCAGCUCACCAGACCUACUCUUCCGCUCGACCCUUGCAGAGGAGGUGGGGAGGGAUAUGGUAUUUGUAGGGCAGCGCUGUGAACAAUGGAGCCAUCAAAAAGGCCUUCUCCCAGCCUCCUCACCAACCACGGACAUUCCUGGCCCAACAAGCCCUCCUGGCCAGGUUUUGAGCCCUGCUUCCCAGAUCUGGGGACCCUUCACCUGCCUCUACUACUGCAAAUGAUUGGAUAUUCGUCUGCCUUGGCUCUUCCCUAAUGUGUGGAACUAAUUUUGUUCACUCUGUUUCAUGCUGGACCUGGCCUGAAAAUGGGCCCUUAUAUUGUCUUUGCACUUUCCAACUUGCCAAGGCCUUCUGCAAGAGAGAUCUAAGAACCAGCCCUCAAAG
rnacentral:lncRNA from 1 species